rnacentral:rRNA from 1 species
UACGUAGGGUGCAAGCGUUGUCCGGAAUUAUUGGGCGUAAAGGGCUCGUAGGCGGUCUGUUGCGUCAGGAGUGAAAACUCGGGGCUUAACCCCGAGCCUGCUUCUGAUACGGGCAGACUAGAGGUAUGCAGGGGAGAACGGAAUUCCUGGUGUAGCAGUGAAAUGCGUAGAUAUCAGGAGGAACACCGAUGGCGAAGGCAGGUCUCUGGGCUGAUACUGACGCUGAGGCGCGAAAGCCAGGGGAGCGAACGGG